CAAAAAACAAACAAACAAAAAAAAAAGAACUCUUUAAACUCAACAAUAAGUAAAUGAACAACUGAAUUUAAAACUGGGCAGAAGACCUGAACCGACAACUCACCAAAGAAGAUAUACAAAUGGCAAAUAAGCAUGUCAAAAAUAUUCAAAAUCACGUAUCAAUAGGAAAUUGAAAAUUAAAACAAGACCCUACCACACAACAAUUAGCAUGGUUAACAUCUGAAACACUGACAACACCAAACGCUGAUAAGGAGGCGGACAGAGGGUCAAGAAUUCUCAUUCAUUGCUGGUGGGAAUACAGAAUCAUACAGCUACUUUGAGUCAGUUUGGCAGUUUCCUACAAAAGUAAAUAUACACUCACCAUAUGACCUAGCAAUCAUGUUCCUAUCAUGUUCCUUGAUAUUUGCUCAGAGGAGCUGAAAACUUAUGCCUACCCAAACUUGUACCCUGAUGUUUAUAGCAGCUUAAUUCAGAACUGCCAAAACUUGGAAGCAACCAAGAUGUUCUUCAGCAGGUGGAUGAUAAACAAACGUGGUACAUCCAGACGAUUGUAUGUUUUUGAGCAAAAACAAAACAAAAACAAAAAAACAAACAAAAAACCAAGUUAACAAGCAAUGAAAAGACAUGGAGGAACCUUAAGUGCCUCUGUCACUAAGGGAAAGAAGCCAAUCUGAAAAGCCACAUACUGUAUGAUGACAUUCUGAAAAAGGCAAAAUUGUGAACAUAAUAAAAAGAUCAAUGGUUGCCAGAGAUUAGGGGAGAAGGGACGGUCAACAAAAUUAAAAUCAUUUAAACUAAUUUAUUUAUUUAUUGAAAUAAAUUUAUUUUAGUUUGGUCAAAAGACAUUCUCUUCAUCAUGAGAAAACCAAAUGACAAGUAAAACAUAUCAGAAAUCCUAAAUUAUACAGCGAAUAAAGCCCUUCCCUAGCUUUCUAAGUGUUCUAAUCAUAUUGACCUAGCUCAUCUUACCAUAUCCUGUGUAGUGACCACCUCUCCUGAAUGUGGGACCAUGAGGUGAUGUGAUAAUCACAUCCUCCUACCUCAACUUUCUGAAACAAGUGAAGAUUUCACUUCCUCCUUGACUGACUGUACUGUUCAUUCACUGACCCAGGUUGUUGAGGAAGUGCCCUCCAUGACGGUCCAUUCUGCCCAUUACCCUGGGACCACACAUUCCACAAGGCUCUGGCCACAAAUAUGCCCACUGCCUGUUUACUCUGACCUGUGCUACACUGGGUUUUUAUAUAAUUCUGAUAUAAUUUCAAACUUACAAAAAGUUGCAAGAAAUUCUCCAUGACUUUCAAUCACAUUCCACAAUUACUAUCAUUUGCUUCUUCAUCUCUCUCUAUAUAUGUGUGUAUGUGUGCAUUUCAUGUAUCAUUUGAGAAUAAGCUGAGACAUCAUGCCCCUUUACUCCUAAAUAUUUCACAGUAUUAUUUCCUGGUAACAAAAAUUUUGUCUUUCAUAACUUCAGUACAAUUAUCAAAAUCAGGAUUUUAACACUGACUCAACAUUAGUACACUGUACAUAUUUGAGAGACAGAGAACAUGCACCUGGUCCAGAGGCCAUGAUCACAAAUUGCUAUUAGCUGUUAUGACUCUUUAGUAUUCUUUAAUCUGGAACAGUUCUAUAAUCCCUCUUUGUCCUUCCUGGCCUUCAUAUUUUUGAAGAAUAUAAGCCAAAUAUUACGUAGAAUGUGUCUCAAUUAGAGUUUGUCUGAUGCUGGGUAAUCAUGAUGUUUCUUCAUAAUUGGAUUUGGGGUAUGAAUUUUUAAAGAAAUACAACAGAAUUGAUGUUGGUUCUCCUCAGGGCAUCACAUCAGGAGACACAGGAUACUAUUUGUCCAAUAUUGGUAAGGUUAACUUUGAUCCCAUGUUUCUCCACCAUAAGAUUAUCACUUUGCCCUUUGUAAUUAGAAAUUUUUAAAAACAUACUUUGAGGGGCACCUGGGUGGUUCAGUCGGUUAAGUAUCUAACUCGUGAUUUCAGCUCAGGUCAUGGUCUCACCGUUCAUGAGUUCGAGCCCUGUGUCGAGCUCUGCACAGACAGCAUGGAGCCUGCUUGGGAUUCUCUCUCUCCCUCUCUCUCUGCCCCUCCUCCAUGCUUGCUCUUUUUCUCUCUCUCAAAAAAUAUUUUUUAAAAAAUAAAAAUAAAAACAUAUUUAAGACUAUGUAAAUAACCAAUGCCUCAUCAAACUUCCAUCAUUAGUUUUAGCAUGCUUUGAUGAUUUUUGCCUUACCUAAUUAUUACAAUGAUAGUUACCAUCUGCCUUCAUUUAUCAGUUGGAAAACUAUUAUAAGGAAAACUUUUUCCUUCUUACCCAUUUAUUUAUAUCAAUAUCACUCACAGAAUUUUAUCUUAUUUAAUGAAUUAUACCUGUUAUUAUCAGUAUUUAUUUUAAUGCUAAGAUUGUCCCCAGUUUGACUAAUAGGAGUCAUUCAAGCUGGACUCCAUUUCUUUCUGACAUGUUUCCAUCAUUGUUUUAGCACUUCCUUACUUACAGGCACAGGAUAUUCUAAGCAUGAACAACCCAGAAGAACUGGAUAAAUUCUAAGAAAUAUAAACCUACUGAGACUGAAUCAUAAAGAAAUAGAAAAUCCAAACAGAACAACUGUUAGUAAAGAGAUUCAAUCAGUAAUCAAAAACCUCCCCAAAAACAAAAGUCCAGGACCAGAUGGCUUCACUGGUAAAUUAUCAAACACUUAAAAGAAUUAAUACCAAUUCUUCUCAAACUCUUACAAAAAACAGAGGAAGAGGGAACACUUCCAAACUCAUUUUAUGAAGCCAGAAUUACCCUAAAAGCAAAAUCAGGCAAAAACACAAGAUAAUUACAGGACAAUAUCCAUGAUGAACAUAGAUGCAAAAAUCCUCAACAACAUAUUAGCAAACCAAAUUCAACAAUACAUUAAAAGAAUCAUACACCAUCAUCAAGUGGGAUUUAUUCCAGGGAUGCAAAGAUAGUAUCUGCAAAUCAAUCAAUAUGAUACAACACACUAACAAAAUGAAAUAUAAAAAUCAUAUGAUCAUCUCAAAAUACACAGAAGAAGCAUUUGAGAAAAUUCAAUAUCCAUUUAUGAUAAAAACUCUCAACAAAGUAGGUACAGAGAGAAUGCAUCUCAUGAUAAUAAAGACCAUACAGCUAACAACAUACUCAAUGGCUACAAGCUGAAACUUUUCCCUCUAAGAUCAGGAACAAGACAAGAAUGUCUAUUCUCAUCACUUUUAUUCAAAAAGUAUUAGAAAUCGUAGCAAGAGUGAUUACUCAAGAAAACAAAAGACAUCGAAAUCAGAAAAGGUAUAAAACUCAUUAUUUGCAGAAAACCCUAAAGACUCCACCAAAAAGCUGUUAGAACUAAUAAAUUCAGUAAAGUUGCAAGAUAUAAAAUCAGUAUGUGAAAAUCUUUUGCUUUCUAUACACUAAUAAUGAACUAUCAAAAAGAGAAAUUAAGAAAACAAUCCUGGGGUACCUGGGUGGGUCAGUCGGUUGAGCGUCCAACUGCGGCUCAGGAUCUUGCAGUCCAGGAGUUCUAGCCCCGUGUCGGGCUCUGUGCUGCUUUGGAUUCUGUGUCUCCCCCCACCCUGCCCCCACCUCUCUGUCCCUUCCCCCACUCAUGCUCUGUUUGCUCUGUCUCUCAAAAAUAAAUAAAUGUUUAAAAAAAUUUUUUUAAAGAAGAAAGAAAACAAUCCUAUUUACAAUCACAUCAAAAAAGUAAAAUAUCUGGGGUGCCUGGGUGGCUCAGUCAGUUAAGUGCCCAACUUAACCUCAGGUCAUAAUCUCAUGGUAUGUGGGUUUGAGCCCUGCAUCAGGCUCUGCACUGACAGCUCGGGCCUGGAGCCCUCUUCAGAUUCUGUGUCUCCCUCUCUCUCUCUCUCUACCCCUCCCCAACUUGUGUACGCUUUCUGCCUCUCUCUCUCUCAAAAAUAAAUGGGUAAACAUUUUUAAAAAAAAGAAGAAAAGAAUAAAAUACCUAGAGAUAAAUUUAACCAAGAAGGUGAAAAACCUGUAUGCUGAAAGCUCUAAAACUUUGAUGAAAAAAACUGAAGACACAAAUAAGUAGAUAUUCCAUAUUUACGGAAUUAGUAUUGUACUAUUAAUAUUAGUUAAUUAGUAUUGCACCAAUUAGUUCAAUUAGUAUGGACACACUAUUCAAAGAAAUCUACAGAUUCAACACAAUCCCUAUCAAAAUUCUAAUGGCAUUUUGCACAGAAAUAGAACAAACAAUCCUAAAAUUUGUAUAGAACCACAAAAGGCCCCAAGAGUCAAAGCAAUCUUGAGAAAGAAGAACAAAGCUAGAGGCAUCACACUUCCUGAUUUCAAACUAUAUUACAAAGCUAUAGAAUUCAAACUUCUAUGGUACUGGUAUAAAAACAGACACAUCGAUUAAAAGAACAAAAUAGCCCAGGAAUAAACUCACAUGUAUAUGGUCAAUUAAUUUAUGUCAAAAGAGCCAAGAAUAUACAAUGAGGAAAAGAUAGUCUAACCAAUAAAUGGUGCUCAAAAAACUGGACAACCACAUGCAAAAGAAUGCAACUGGACCACCACCUUAUACCCUACACAAAAAUUAACUCAAACAGAUUAAAGACUUAAACAUCAGACUGGAAUUCCAUAUAACUCCUAGAAGAAAACAUAGUAAGCUCCUUGACGUCAAUCUCAGCAAUGAUUUUUUUUGGAACUGACACUAAAUGCAAAGGCUACAGAAGCAAAAAUAAAUAAGUGAGAUGACAUCCAACUAAAAAGCUUCUGUACAACAAAGAAAACCAUCAAAAAAAUGAAAUGGCAACCUACCAAAUGGCAGAAAUUAUUUGCAAAUCAUAUAUCUGAUAAGGAGUUAAUAUACCAAAUAUAUAAAGAACUCAUAUAACUCAACACCAAAAUAACAAACCAAUUAACAAAUGGGCAGAGGGCCUACACAGACAUUUUCCCGAAGAUAUACAGAUGGCCAACAGGUACACGAAAAGGUGUUCAAUGUCACUCAUCAUCAGGGAAAUGCAAAUCAAAACCAUAAUGAGAUAGUAAUGCACACCUCCUAGAAUGGCUAUUAUCAAAAAGAUAAAUAACAAAUUUUGGUGAGGAUGUGGAACUCUUGCACACUGUUGGUGAGAAUGUAAAUUGGUGCAGCCACUGUGGAAAACAGUGUGAAGGUUCCUCAAAACAUUAAAAACAGAACUACCACACAAUCCAGAAGUUCCACUUCUGGGCACUUAUCAUUAGGAAACAGAAACUCUAACUCUAAAAAGAUAUCUGCACCUCCAUGUUCACAGCAGCACUAUUUACAGUAACAACCUAAGUGUCCAGUGACGAACGAAUGGAUUUAAAAAAACAUGGUGUAUUUAUACAAUAAAAUAUUAUUCAGCCAUAAAAAAAAGAAAGAAAUCUUGCCAUUUGCAAAAGCAUGGAUGGACUUUAAGAGCAUUAUGCUAAGUGAAAGAAGUCAAAGAAAGACAAAUAUUGUAUGCUCUCACUUAUAUGUGGAAUCUUUAAAAACAAAAAAAAAGUGAACUCACAGAUUGGUGGUGGCCAGAGGCAGAGAGAGGUUGAAGAUGGGAAAAAUAGAUGAAGGGAGUCAAGAUACAACCUUCCAGUUAUAAAAUUAAGUCCCGGAGAUGUAAUAUACAGCACAGUGACUAUAGCUAAUUAUACUAUAUUGUAUAAUGAAAGUUGCUAAGAGGGGCACCUGGGUGGCUCACUAGGUUAAGCAUCUGACUCUUGAUUUAGGCUCAGGUCAUAAUCUCACAGUUUGUGAGAUCAAGCCCUGUGUGGGGCUCUGUGCUGUCAGCUAGGGAUUCACUCUCUCCCUCUCUCCGCGUGCUCAUGCGUGUGCACUCUCUCUCAAAAUAAAUAAACCUUUUUUUUUAAAGUUGCUAAGGAAGGAAAUCUUAAAAGUUCUCAUCAGAAGAAAAAGAAAUUGGUAAUUGUGCAAUGAUGGAUGAUAUUAACUAGACUUAUUGUGGUGAUCAUUUCACAACACAUACAACUGUCAGAUUAUUAUGUUGUACACCUCAUAUAUAAUGCUAUAUAUCAAUUAUAUCUCAAUAAAAAACAGAAAUCUAAAAAAAUAUUUUAAAUAAAAAUAUGAGUUGUUUUGUUAAAGAAAAAUAAUUUUCUCAAAGGAAGGAAUACCGGAUUCAAAGUGUUGCCUUAUGUAUUGGGCCAGUUUCAAUUCUAAACAUCAAGCACAAACACCUUUGUGCUUCUUCUCAUUUCACUAUCUGCCCAAGUUUAAACUAGGCCUAAGAUUUUUCUAUUCUUUGUCAGAUUCCUGAGGAUGUAAAAAGUCACUUUUAGAUAUUAAGUAGAGCAAAUUUACAUAAAGUAGUAUUGCUUUUAUCUUUACUCCCUUUUUGCUGAAUACCGGUAACAGAGUUUAAUUCUUUGGCACUUAGGACCACACUUCAUGUUCUAUAACUAAAGGACGUACUAUAUUUGUAAACUAACUGGGGCAUGGCAUUCAAUCCAGAUUUGCAGCAAAUCUUCACCCAUAUUGCAAACCAGAUGGAGAAUUUAACUAUUUUACAGCAACUAGCAGCUGUCUUCUUUUGGUGUUUAUAUGCCUAGAGUCAAAAUCCAUAGCCUGCUGUAUGUCCCUAGUGAAGUAAGGGGCUUAGAAACGAGAUUUUUAUAAGUUUUCCUCUGUGUCCCUUCUAAAAUAUUUUUAAAACAUUAACCAGCUUGAUAGUACCCAAAUAAGCAAACAGAAGGGAAUCCCUUCCAAAUGCAGCCUUAAGUCUAUGCAGAAAGUACCUUCCUUUUACCACGUGGUGUAUUUAUAAAUGUUUUUCUAUAUAACCUGUACAAAGAUCGGAAAUACAGAUCAUUGAACUGCCUUCCUACAUAACUUACUGCUCAAUAGAAGGUCAUCCUAAAAUAUUUGUCAACUAACUCUUACUGGCCAGAAAGACCUACAUAUGGUUCAUCACUUUCUGGUAUACACUAAAUCAGAGCCUUAAAGAGAAAUAGGUAGGGAAGUUCAAUUCAAUGCUCUCGUUACCCGAGACAAAUGGUAAAACAGAUGGUAGAAUAUAAAGCAAUUCCAGCUCUUUAUCACUUUGGUUCUUCCAGAUUUAAACAUUUAGACCACAAUGAUUUUGAAAUAUAUCCAUGAAAAAGCAGGAAAAAGAGAAAAGGCAUGCAAAUUUUCCUGGAAUGCAAGCCCCCGUCAUGGAGAUGGAAUUCAUCUGGGCCUCAAUAAAAUGAGACAGUGUGGAGACUGAUCUUUUAAUACAAAAUUAACAUAGGACCCAAAGAUCGCUGGUGCUUUCUGGUAUUCAAAUGGAAACUCUUUUAGCAAGUAAGGUAUUUUUUUAAGGCUGAGUGAACCCUCAGCUGGAUGGCAAUCUUGAAUUCAUGUCAUAUACUUGACCAAUUUUUUUUAAUGCUCAUUUUGAUAGUAACAGCCAAGAGCAGCUGUAGAUUAAACAGACUGUGAAACCCUCAGAUUCGAUUUCACUGUGAAAUUUCACUGUGAAAUGUAGUCAGAGAUCCAUCUGCAGAAAGACAUUAACCAGUAUGACUCCAAUCUCAGCCUAAAGACUCAACAAGGGUAGAAAAAAGGACAAUGGAGGGGAAGGACAGAAGGAGCGGGGUGAAGGCAGGGAAGCGAGGCAACACUUGAAUCUUGGGUGCUCUAAAUCAUUACGGUGAAUGAGCCUGAUAACACACUCAUGGGAAGAACAGAAGCAAAAUAUAAAUAAAAACUGUACCAGGCUGGCAUUCCUACACAGUUCCUGCUGCAACAUAAUUAGCGUGGUGGUAAAUUAUUUCUCUCUCUCUUUAAGCAAAAGCAACAUCAAGUGAUUACAAAAGUGAACAGAUAUCAAAUAAAAUGGAAAAUCACGCCACAGUCUUACGGACCUGAAAAGUCCAACAUAUUAGCAAUGGCAAAUUUAAGCCCUACGACCCAAUACUAUUGGUCCCAAGGGGCUCCUGUGCAGUGGUUUCAAUCCAUGAAGAACAGCAUUCCCUCAAAACACUACAGUGGACAAGAAUGUUUAGCCUUUCUGACACCAUGCUGCCCAAUCCUACUGUCUCAGAAGGGAUUAGAGAUCCUGAGAUAAGCAAAUCUGUAGGCAGUUGGAAUGCUCUCCUUAGAGAGUUCCAGAAGAAUUCAGAAAUCAGAAUAUCCUGAAGGAAACUAAGGUUCCAUUUUUAUUACACACUUAGGGACAAACUAAGAUGAAUUAUGGAAUAGGAAAAGCUUAUAUUCUGGGCCCUGAUGCUCAUGUUUCCUUUUAACAAAGCAAAACAGAGAGGCUCUUGGGUAUGGAAUAAAGUGCUGUAUUUUGAGGCAGAUACACUUAACUCUGCCACUUCAUUUGCAGAGUUCUUUAAUCCCCUCACUAUGUUACUAAGUUAUAAUUCAAGAAAAGACAUAAACUUCACUGAUUCUGACCCUGACCUCUAAUCAGUGCCAUAAUAGACAAUGAAGUCCAAGAGAUCAUCUUGCAUUAGCUGUGGAGUUUGGGAUGGGUGCACAUGUGCAUGUCUGCAACAAAGACAUGUUUUUCAACAGAGCAAGGGAGCAAUUAUAUGGCAAUAUGGAAACAGAUGUGAAAAGCAAACAAUAUAUUAUAUAGUAAAAUUUUAGAAAAUUUGGAGCUUGCAUAAGAUGCGUUUAGGAAGGGCAAAGCCAAGGGCUCCAAGCUAGAAGGUGAGGUAUCUUCCAUCCCAGAGAACCUUACCUGUCCCUACUGCCUAGUCAGUUUCAAUCCAAAGGGUGCUGCUCCCAGCGAGGGGCCAAUUCUCUUCCCUUGGGUAUCAGCAAAGUUUUUAAGGUGUCCUUCCCUUGGUGUUCGCCUCCAUGUAGUCAGUCUGGAACUUUAACAGAUCACUCAGAAAGUCUAAAAAGCUACUACAUGUACCUCAAAAGAAUUAAUCUCUAAACAUUACAUUUCAGAAAAGAUCACAAAAGCUUUGGGAGUUUGUGGGAUUGGGGUACCUGUGUGUUCAGAACACCUCUCGCAUCUAUACCCUGUGGAUAAUUAUAUUAUUUUGCUAAUUGUAAGAGCAGCCCUUAAGGGGCUGCAUUAGCCUGAAAAUCUUCGAAGAAUGGGUGAAUCUUUAGGUACGCAACUGUUUAUUUUUUCAUUUGCUGAUAUCAUUUGCCUAAAUUAUACAUUAUUUUCUGUUUCCAAAAAGCCUAACACAGUGCCUUACACAUACUUAUGUGAUUGGUAUAAAACUUUAUUAACUUAAGUUGCGAGCCAUAAGCUUUUCAAACCAAUUCAAGAAAAACAAUUUCUACUACUAACUAAUGGACUCGGGGGGGUGGCAUUAUGGAUGCAGCCCUGAGCUUCUACAGAGCUCUGCCAAGUUUUGUGAAAGGGUCAUUCAACGGUAGCUCAAUCACUACCAUUACAAUUCUUGCUGCUCCAUGGAAUGGGAAGCAAUCUCAAAGCACAAGGGCAGAGGUUACACUAUAGUGGUUUAAAACAAGGACUUGGAGCUACGUUCAAAUCUCAACUCUGUCGCUUUAGGGUUCUAUGACCUUGGCCAAGUUAUCCCUCUUUGCUAAACAACAGUUCCUCUAUCUUUAAAACAGAACUAAUACACAGUCAUUUUCAUGUGCACACUAGACUUUUCCUUGUUUACAUACAUACACUUUCAGAAUCUCCUCUCAUAAUCCCCUAUGGCCAUUAUGGACUAUAUCUCAUUGAAACACACCCCCAAUAACUUACAAAGUGAAGCCACAAUAGACUAACCUAGGAAAUUAACCCAAGGAAUCUCUCACUUUUUAUGUACAGUUUCUAACAGGAAUUCCUAUAAAGGGAAUUAUAUAAUAAGAUAUGAUAAGAUUAAAGAUUAAAUUUUUUCAAGGCUCAAAUCUAAACUGUUGGACUCAAGUGACAAUGCCAACAAAUAACUUCAAAUUUUCUAUUAACUAGAAAUAUCUGUAUCAUUGCCAAGGCUUCAUAGUGCAUCUGGUCAGACAGAACAAUUCAUCUCUAAACAGAAGGGGAUGGCCACCUGGCCCUCCAAGGUAAAUACAAAUAAGCCUGGGCGGGUGUCCUUGACCUAGGUUUGGUAAUGUGGAAUCACAGCUUUGAAGCAUUCUACAAAGUCUGAUGCUCUCAGCCUCUGUGCACAUUGCAGCUGCCAAGUAUAGACUCACCAGUCUUAAGUGCUGCUGUAUAGCCACGGUCAACUCAGAUGAUCCAACAAAAGAGACAGGGCCAGACCUGUGUCCAAACUGGUGUUUCUGAGAUGAAGGUAUCAUCUAGAAAUCACAAUAGUGGUGGUGACCAGGAGUGACUAUUAUUGUUACCAACCCUCUGCCCUGGCCAGAAGAUAGCUAAAGAGAAGAUGAAAGCCAGAACAACCACCCCCAUCAGUUAUGCCAUUACAACUGCAGAAUGUCUUACAGUUUGAAUAACACUUCAAUCUUCUCUCCCAAACCUCCCCUUCCUCACAUCUACCUUCACCGUAAGUAAUAAAGUAAUCCAACAACUGACACAAGCUUCUGACAUCUCAUCCUAAGAAUCUGAGCCCAAAUUUUAAGUAACAAAAACCACGCACUAAUGAGAAGUCAUUACAGAAUUACCUGUGUUUAUCUAUGCAGGGUAACGUUUGAGCAGAUUAGCUUGCAGCCCACUAAGAAAUAUCAAGGCCUCCUAAAUUCUGAAUUUCUGAAGCUAAGAGUUCCUCAGCUGGAACACAAACCCAUUCCAUAUACAAUAUCCAUAUAGGCUGCUCCACAUCACCUCUGUGGGACUUAGGAGCACAAGAAUUGUGUGAGUAUAAAGUUCAUAUUGUUUGUUGUGCCAUGAUUAAUAAAGUUCUUUGUCUCUGACCCAGGAACCUCAUGUCUUCUUCCAGAUUCUAUGAAUCUGUGGCAAGCUAACUUGUUGUUGUAUGGAUCUGUGGCAAGCUAACAAGUAGGGCAAAAAUCUCAGACCCUUUGCAUUUUUUAUGAUACAUGUUGCUUUCCCACUUGUCAUGUCUUCUAGAAAAAUUAAGAUGAUUGAACAAAAGCUGAAAUAUUUUCAGUUUCAGAAAAUAAAACCCCAAGACUACUAUUGUUUUGAAUAGAAUGCAAUGGCAAAUACAGUCAUGAAAAAAAGUGGUGUAUAGUGUAUAUUGGGGUUGCCCUGCCCAGACUCGCCCACUGCAGCACCAACACAGUCAUUCUCCCAGUUGCCAGGACUCUUGCCUGUGUCACUUUCUAGGAAUUGCCCUCAGGAGAAGGAAUCUGUCUUACCCAAAGUUUCCCCCUCUCCUAGGGGUAGCCUGCAUUCAAUGAUGGGGUAUAAAGGCUUGAGCCUUUGCCUCAAUUCGAAACAUAACCAAAUGGCCACUCUAAAUCCCUGGUUACCCACUGAAUUACCAAAGCCACCAUUCAAACUCUCUCAUACAAAAUAUAUAAAGAACUUCACACAACACCAAAACAACAAACAGUCCAAUUAAAAAAUGGGCAGAAGACAUGAACAGACAUUUCCCCAAAGAAGACAUGUAGAUGACCAAAAAAGACACAUGAAAAGAUGCUCAAUAUCAUUCAUCAUCAAGGAAAUGCAAGUGAAAACCACAAUGGGAUACCACCUCAUACCUGUCAGAAUUGCUAAAAUCAAAAACUCAAGAAACAACAAGUGUUGGAGAGGCUGUGGAGAAGAAGGAAGCCUCAUGCACUGUUGGCAGGAAUGCAAACUGGUGCAGCCACUGUGGGAAACAGUAAGGAAGUUCCACAAAAAAUUAAAAUUAGGGGGUGUGUGGGUGGCUCAGUUGGUUAAGCAUCCAACUCUUGAUUUUGGUUCAGGUCAUAAUUUCACAGUUGUGACAACGAACCCCACAUCAGAAUCUGCACUGAUAGCAUGGAGCCUGAUUGGGAUUCUCUUUCCCCUUUGUUCUCUGCCCCUCCCCCACUUGCACACACACACUCGCGUUUUCUCUCUCUCUCUCAAAAUAAAUAAACUUAAAAAAAAUUAAAAUUAGAGCUAUCCUACAAUCCAAAAAUCACGCUACUUUGUAUUUACCAAAAGAAUAUGAAAACACAAAUUUGAAGGGAUAUGUGCACCCCAUGUUUAUUGCAGCAUUAUUUACAGUAACCAAACUAUGGAUGCAGCCCAAGUGUCCAUCAACAGAUGAAUGGUAAAAGAGGUGGUAUACACACACACACACACACACACACACACACACACACACACACACACACAUCAGUGGAAUAUUAUUCAGCCAUAAAAAGAAUGAAAGUUUGCCAUUUGCAAAUGCUAAGCUAAAUAAGCCAGUUAGAGAAAGACAUACCAUAUGAUUACACUUACAUGUGAAAUUUAAGAAACAAAAGAAAAGGGGGAAAAAAGAGACAAACCAAAAACAGACUCUUAACUAUAGAGAACAAAGUGAUGGUUACCAGAGGGAAGCGGGGUGGGGGGAGGAAUGGGUGAAAUCGGUGAAGGGGAUUAUGCAAUGCACUCAUCUUGAUGAGCACUGAGUAAUGUAUGGAACUGCUGAAUCACAUCUGAAACUAAUACAACACUGUAUGUUAACUACACUGGAAUUAAAAUUUGAAAGAAAGAAGUAAGGAAGGGAAGGAUGGAAAGGAAGAGAGGGAAAGAAGGGAAGAAAGGAAAGAAAGAAAAUAAACCUCUGCAUCACAUUUAAAAAUAUAUUUAAAAAAAAAGAAAUAUAAAAAUUUUUUUAAAAAGCUAUCAUAGUUGAACUCCUCUCUCUACUGUAUCCUGCUUCCUUCACUUCCCUAACAGGCAUUUAUGAGAAAACCAUCCAACAAAUCUCCUGCAGAGAAAGCUCAGAGUCUCAGAGUCUGUCCUCGGGAACCUGACCUGAGAUGGGGAAAGUCUUUGCUUCUGCACAUCCACAGGAUUCUCACCAGCACUUUGCAAUGGAGUCUAGACCUAAGAGUCACGUGCUAUUUACAACUUCCUUCCUCACUUCACUCCCACAUAUCUCAAAUUUCAGACUAAUCCAUUAAUGAUCAUUCACCAUUAGGAAUUUUUUAAGUCACUAAAGGGUGUAUAAACAGUUACUUGAGAUCAGUCUCUUGAAAGAUUUCCUGGAGAGAGAUGGAACAUCACAGGAUUUCAACUCAAGGCAGAUUAAGUAACGAUUUUGCAUGAGUUUAAAUUUCCUGAACUGUAUACAUUUUCUAAAAUGAUGGUCUGCUUCUAAGAGAACAACAAAUAAGGAGAGAAGGAGAGAACUGAGAAAUUCUGAUCAACAUAGCCAGAAUAAACAGCCAAUAUAGUUGGGCCUUCCUUUCAUUUUUGUUUUCUCUGAUGUUGAAGGAUUUUUCAAAAAAUGAAACAAGAGUUCCCUUGCCUGAAAGAUUUUGAAUGCUGGGACUCUGGUCACUUCAGCUAAAAUCAUUAAUUACCUGGGUAUUUUUUUUUUUAAUUCGAAAAUGCUACACACUAGACCCACAGGCAUUUUGAAAGAGUACAGAAAACAGUCGUUUGUCAAUGUUCAUUGUCUGAAGGAUUCUGCUUUAAUAAAACAGAAACUGGGUUUCUACCUUUCUACUAACAGCUAACAGAGCUGGAAAAUCAAAAGGCACUAGGGUAAUUAUUUUCCUUAAAAAACAAAAGUAAAAGCACUAACUCUGUAACCUCAGAGCAAAAAAAAUCUGCUUACUAUCAAAAACAAAAGUUCACCCAAAGGUAAAUCAGAGUCAACUGCCGGUCUUUUUAGGCAGAAGAAAGAACUAAUGCAUCAGUCGCUGGCCUUGUAAUAGCAUAGUGUUUAUAAAACGUUUAAUGCAGUGUUUCCUUGCCAAUUAAAAGCGAGGGUAGGAUUUACCUUUCACUUUUAAUAUCUUUGCCUGACUUUUAUACUAGUAACAUGAGCCAAAAGGAUUAAGGAAACUACUGAAUACAUAUUUCUGCAAAACAAUCUUAGUGGAAAUUAUCUUCAGGGUAAAAGGAAACAAUACUAGGGCCGUGAUAGUCGGGAUAGACAGAAUUCCCAUUAGAUAUAAUUGGUACAACUUGAAAUGUAUUUGUAUUUCCAAUGUAAAGGCCCAAUUAUCUGGCCAUCCCAGAGAUUCUGUGAGCUGCCUAAUGCCCUUUAAUAAAGCCCUUUCUGUUCUAACUAGCAAGAGAGGAUUCAAACUAAGAAUAAGCCAGAGUAACUGGUCAAAGAGUUUGUAGUCAGCAUAGCCUCAAAACAAACAAACAAACAAACAAACAAAACACAACAAAACAGGAAUCUUUGAUUUUCUUCCUGGGUUGGGUUCGAAGGCAGUGAAGAUCUCAUGAUUUUAAAGGACUGGUAGUUCAUUUUUACACAGGGCAGAAGAUCACCUGUAGUAACCUGGAAUGCAGAACCUAUCGUUGGCAAUACUGCAUCAUCCCUGCUUCCUCACAAAAAAAGCUUCAAGAAAGAAAAUACCAAGCUCGAUAUUUAAAACUCUUAACUUCAGGCAUAAUUAUCAAAUAAAGAGUUUCUAUGACUAUCCUAAAAAAGAGUCUCCUGUAUCUUACAGUUGACUGGCUGAGAUCACUAAAAGUCAAACACAGAGUGUGACCUUAAGUUGCACAAUUGCAAGGCAGGUUGAUUUCACAGCCCUUCUCUUAAGUUAGGGUAUCAACUGAGAAAGCAUAAGGCCCUAAGAGCUAGCAUGGAGUCCAGUGGUACCCCCAAACCUUCAAAAACACUAAUCCUCCCUUGCCAGAUGAAGUAGUUCUCUCUUCCACUAAGUCUGUUCCUGACUUACUACAGAAGCCCUGACUGUAAAUACCUCACCUAAUGUAGUUAUUUCUCAAGGGGCGCUAAUUCUCCCCAUGUCCUCUUCUUUGUUGCUUCUAUACCUUAAAGUAGAGAUAUAUUCCAGCAUGCCCUUUGAGGCAAAUUACAAAGUCAAACCAUGAAUCUACAAUAAGAAAAAUGACACUAAUUGGUUAAUUUCUAUUACCAGAAAUCUGGAGAAUAAGGUGAAAAUGAAUUCUGAGGAUGUUAGAGGGAGAAGAACAUAACUUUAGAUCUACUCAGGUUAUGAAUAUGGAAACAAAUGCCAAAAAUGCUGGAUCCAAUGUACUAGUUCUAGGUCAUCCCAGUUGUUUCCAAUUGUUUUCUUAGUUGCUUAACUCAAAUCUGGACUUGAUGGUGGCCUAUGCUAAAUGAGGCUGAGAUACCAGAUUAUAUAAUGUAGCAGAAAAAAUACAAAGAGCCAGAGAGACAGAAAUAAUAAACUAAAAAUUAUUAUAUACAUUUAUCUAUCCCAAAUUAUGUCUCCCAAGAAGGCCCCAGGUCUUUACACAGCACUGAUAAAUAUUUAAAUGUUGAGGUCUUUGAAAAGCACUAUGAGGGUUGAACCCUGUGAAUCAAGAUAUGUGGGAAAGCCACCUUUGGAAUAGGUCCCAUUAUUUCAAUAAAGAUUAUAGGAUCCCAGAGUGGAAGAGACCAAAAGAGUCAAUCACAAGAGACAGGAGUGGCUCGCUAAUCACAAUAAGCAGUAAUGGUGGAGUGGACAAGAAUUUAAUUUGCUUAAUAGAGUUUACUCCAAAAGCUAUUUUAUUAAUGAAAGGUUACCAAUGUCUGUAUAAGUCUGACUAAAAUGUGCAUUUUCAUGUAUACAAAGUCAAAACAUCUACAAGGUGAAAAUAGCUAUGAGAUUAGAACACCAAGAUCGCUGUGAAGGAAUCAAUUGUUGUGAAUGUGAGAGACAACACAAGUGACUAUUUCCCCAAAGAAGAGCAAUGCCAAGUUGAUUUGCCAUGUCUAUUGACCCAGAACUGUAUUAGGGCUAUGUCAAGCACUUUUUUUUUUUAAAUCAUCAUUAUUAUAAAUUAUUUUUAGAAUGAUUCUCAGGGGAAAGUUUGAGUCAAGAGUCUCAGGAAAGACCUACAAAUACACCCAAAUCUUCCUUAAAAAAUUGUAGUGCCAUUCCUUGGGUCAGAAAUUGUCACUCCAGAAGGACCCUGUUGAUUUCAGAAUUAUAGUUGUAUACUGUCUCAAAAAUAAUAAAAAGGAGACUACUUGAUGUCAAAAUUCAUGCGCCACAGGUAAAGCUAUACUCAAAGGCAAAAUUAUACCAAUAAAUGCCUUAAUAUAUGUUAAUAUUUAAAAAAGUAGUAAAUGUAAGAAAUUAAAAAUAUAACAAAAAAUACCAAACUCAAGGAAAUAAUUUUAGAAAUUAAAAUUGAAAUUUUAUCAGAAUGCAAUAAGAAAUAAGAAAUAUGUAAAACUGUUUCUCUGCAAGUACUUUUUUCUGCAAAUAUUUUUUUAAAUACACAAACCCCCAGCAAGCCCGUUUAAUGGGAAAAAAAAGAAAAAACCAAGAAUAUACAACCUUAAGAUAAAAAAGGUGAUAACCACAGAUAUUUUUAUUUAUCUAUGUAUUUAUUAAGGUUGUUCAUUUAUUUUAAGAGAGGGAGAAAGAGAAUCCCAAGCAGGCUCUACACCACCAGGACAGAGCCCAACACGGGGCUUGAACCCACAAACUGCAAGAUCAUGACCUGAGCUGAAAUCAAGACGCUUAACUGACUGAGCCACCCAGGCGCCCCUUUUUAUUUAUUUUUGAUUGUGAUAAAAUUCCAGAUUUUUUAAGUGAUUUAAAAAUCAUAAAAAAUAUAUAUGCAAAUCUAUGGAAAUUGUUUCAGACACAUUUCAAGGGUUACUUCAGAUUCUUAAGAAUGUACCCAUCUCCUGGACUCCUCAACCACACAGCUGCCACUGCUUUGGUCGCCAACACUUCAUCUGCAGAUACCCCUGACCUUCUCGUUCUCUCCUGGGCCAGGCUCUGGAAACAUGCCCCCCCCACACACCUUCCCAUCAUGACAGAAACCACAGCAGUGCAGGUCCCCUCAGCACCACUCAAUGAGUUCCAUAUAAGCUCUGACUCCUCCUACCACGCUGGACUCCAAUGAGGGCUUUGAAACACUGUCAUUCCACAGAAAUGGGACCCAGCUUCCACAGCAAAGAGGCCAGGUGUUGCAGUCUGGAAGGCCAGGGAGUAAACUCCCAACAGGGCAAACACUGACCAAUGAGAGAAAGGAGAUGGGAGCUCACUCGCACAUAAAUCCACCUCUCUUCCUCUCUCCAACAGACUAUUACAACAUGUUUUCCAUACAACCUGUCUGGAGAUGCCCUUCACCCUUGAGGAAGCUCUGGAAAGUUUCGUAAUGCACCAACUUGCCUUUGCUUCCCAUCCUUCCCUGGCUCCCUUUUCCCUCUUUUUCACUGUCCUGGGAUUGCAUCUCCCCAUAAAACAUCAGCACUAAAGCCUUGCUUCAGCCUCUGUGUUCUAGGAAUCCCAAGCUAAGACAGUGAUAAGUGUGAAAACUUAGAGAAAUGCUGAUUUUUCACCAAAAUAAAAAAAUACUAUAUUUGACCAAAUAGUAGAUAAAAAGUUCAAAGACAUUAAUAAUCACAGACCGCAUUGGAUAGCAAAGGUCCUGUUUCUAGAAAAACACUAGACCUAGACAAUAUAACAACCAAAUUACACCUAACUUUUAAGGUGCAAAUAAUUCCUAAUUUAUCUAUUCUCAACCAAAUGCAUUAUUUUAUGCAUUAUCAUGUUCUUAUUAACAUAAUAUAAUAAAUAUAGUUCAGAAAAAGAAAUUUCAGGGGCGCCUGGGUGGCUCAGUUGGUUAAGUGUCCGACUUCACUCAGGUCAUGAUCUCACAGUUUGUGGGUUUGAGCCCUGCAUCGGGCUCUAUGCAGACAGCUUGGAGCCUGGAGCCUACUUCAGAUUCUGUGUCUCCCUCUCUCUGCCCCUCACCUGCUCACACUCUGUCUCUCUCAAAAAUAAAUAAACAUUAAAAAAAAUUUUUUUUAAAGAAAAAGAAAUUUCAUUUAUAAAUAAGGAUAAAAACAUUUUUUAAUGACAUCAAAUAAAUUCUGGCAGUGCAUUAAAAGAACAAUUCAUCAUAACCAAUUUUUAAAAUUUUUUUUUUUCAACGUUUAUUUAUUUUUGGGACAGAGAGAGACAGAGCAUGAACGGGGGAGGGGCAGAGAGAGAGGGAGACACAGAAUCGGAAACAGGCUCCAGGCUCUGAGCCAUCAGCCCAGAGCCCGACGCGGGGCUCGAACUCACAGACUGCGAGAUCGUGACCUGGCUGAAGUCGGACGCUCAACCGACUGCGCCACCCAGGCGCCCCACCAAUUUUUAAAUCACUAGCAGGUCAUGUCAAUGUCAACAUGCAUGAGGGAAUUCAAUAAUUUUCCCAAUGUAACACAAAACUCUCCAAGAUCUCUCCCUCCAUCUCUCUCUCUCUCUCUCUCUCACACACACACACACACACACACACACACACACCACAUACACACAGAAGCACACUGUGACCAUAUGAAUAAAACAUAUCAAAGAUACAUCCGGGCCCUUUCACAAAGAUGGCUUGGAAGGUGAAAAAGGAAGCCCCUGCCCCUCCCAAAGCCGAAGCCAAAGCAAAGGCUCCGAAGGCCAAGAAAGUGGUGCUGAAAGGCAUCCACAGUCAUAAAAAAAAGAAGAUCCACAAAUCACCUACAUUGCAACAGCCCAAGACACUGUGUCUCUGAAGGCAGCCCAAGUAUCCUGGAAAGAGAUCCCUGAGGAGAAACAAGGUUGACCACUACGCCAUCAUCAAGUUCCCCCUGACUGCUGAGUCAGCCAUGAAGAAAAUAGAAGACAACAACACACUUGUGUUGAUUGUGGAUGUCAAGGCCAACAAGCACCAGAUCAAACAGGAUGUGAAGAAGCUCUAUGACAUUGACAUGGCCAAGGUCAACACUCUGAUCAGGCCUCACUCUGAAGGAGAAAAGAAGGCAUAUGUUCAACUGGCUCCCAACUAUGACGCUUUGGAUGUUGCCAACAAAAUUGGGAUCAUCUAAACUGAGUCCCACUGGCUAAAUCCAAAUUUUCUCACCAAAAAGAAAAAAAAAAAAAGAUACAUCCAGUUUACUCCCAGAAUCCUUUCUAGCUUUCUUUGUGCUUUUUCCCAUUCCUCAUCCCAACAGGAGUAGAAUUAGCAUUUGAGGAAAGACCAUUCUGCUCUGUGUAAACCUGACUCAGGCAUUGUAAGAUAUUUAUCAUUUCUGACCCUGGGUAUUAAAUUUCACAGCACUCCUAAGUCACUGACAACUGCAAGCCCUUAUAUGUUUCCAAGUGUCUGUGAGGAGAAUCCAUCCCUCAUUAAGAAACACUGGGAAGAAUUCCAGAGAGCUACCCCUGCACCAGUAUCCCAGCAACUACUAGGAACUCUCACCUCCUCCUCAGAUGACCUAUUACCAGUUUUUUUCUGCCCCUCCAUUCUAAUCCACCCUCUUCAGAAACUAAAGAGGACACCAUCAUCUUAGUUCUGUUGGCCUUUCUAUCUGAGUAUGCUAGAACAUCAGGCCCAGAAAAUGCAAUACGCACCCCCAUAUAAAAUGCAGAAGAGAGCAGCAAUAUCCAUGCGGUUUUCUAUCGUGCGGUUUUGUCAGUUUAUAUGGGCAUUGAGAAAACAGAGUUCCUGGGGCACCUGGGUAGCUCAGUCAGUUAAGUGUCCAACUCUGGAUUUUGGCUCAGGUCAUGAUCUCAUGGUUCACGGGAUCGAGCCCACUGACAGUGUGGAGCCAGCUUGGGAUUAUUUCUCUCUCUCUUUCUCUCUCAAAAAUAAACAAACAUUAAAAAGAAGGAGGAGGAGGAGAAACAGAGUUUCCACAGAAUCAAAAAUGGCAAUCUACCAGGAUUCAUUAGGUCAAAAUAUUUGCCACUCACUGGAGUUCUUCUCCACUGAUUCUCGGUAUACAAAUGCUCAUGGGACUGGCUCUAAAGACAGAAGGCUGUAAAUCCAAACUCCACAAUGCCUUUAUUCUAUCUGCCCUUGGGCAAUUUAUUAAUCCCUCUGACCUUAGUUUUCUGCAUCUAUAAAAUGAAGGAAAGUUAUCACAACAACCCUGCGAGGUAGAUAGUGAGAUGUUUCUAAGAUGCUCAGCGUAGUGGUUGCUAUGUACUAAGGGCUCAAUAAGUGUUAGCUCUUUUAUUAUCUCCUCUAAACACCAAGCUAGCAUAUACUUCCAUUAAGCAGGUUUCCAUACUUAUUAUUAAUUCUAACAAGCUAAUGCAUUUUAAAUGUUCCCUUUGCAUAUUUUAAGGAGCUUCAGUUUUACAUCAGUGUGAAAAGAAACAUAAAACUUACUCUUGAAAAAAAAAAAAAAAGAAUUACUACUGGGGUGCCUGGGCUCAGCCAGUUAAGCAAUCUGACUCUUGAUCUCAGCUCAGGUCAUAAUCUUGCAGUUCGUGAGUUCAAGGCCUGCAUCGGGCUCUGCGCUGAUGGUGCACAGCCUGCUUGGGAUUCUGUCUCUCCUUCUCUCUGCCCCUCCCGUGUGUGUGCUAUUUCUCUCUCCCUCUCUCUCGCUCUCUCUCCCUCUCUUCAUCCCUCCCUCAAAAUAAAUAAACAAACAUUAAAAAUUAAAAAAAAAAAAAAGAGUUACUGCUAACUGCCUAUCUCCUCAAAAAACUCUGAGUACUGAUGGCAGAAAACGGAUCAUCACAAUGAAUCCAAUGCCAUCACACCGCAGACACUGAAUAGCUACUUAGUAAAUGUGGAAGGAAUGAAAAACCUUCAUGGUCAUCUAAUGCCUUAGAAGGACACUCCUUAAUAUUUUAAAUGGAUUACUUCUAACAGUCACUACUACUCUAAAAGUAGGCAUGGUCAGCAGCUGACUAGGUAUACCAUGACAGCAAAGACACAUCCUAUACACAGAGGUUGGUGAGAAAAAGUAGAAAAAAAAACAAAAAAACAAAAAACAGAAAAAGCUAUAGAACACACUAACAUCCAUGUAAAUUAACAAUAGUUACAUGUCAGUUGUCAAAACUCACUGAAGAGUAUCCUCAAAAGUCAAUCGCUUCUCUGCUUGUAAAUUUUAACUAAGACAACUAUAAACAAAUAUGAAAAUCUAAUUAAUAACAUGCAUGCUGAAGUUUUAGAAGUAAAGGGCACCGAUGUCUGCAAUUGACUUUGAAAUGCAUCUAGAAAUUAAGAUUAAGGAUGUAUGGAUACAGGGAUGAAAAAUGAAUGAAUAUAUGAUGAGGUAAAUAUACCAAGAUGUUAUUGGCAAAAUCUAGAUGGUGUUCACUGCACAAUUCUUCCAACUCUUCUGUAUUUUGACAAUUUUUCACAAUAAAAUGUUUGCGGGGGGGGGGCGGGGAGGGUAUGUAUGCAAAACCAUGGUUAUUUUCUUUUUAUUAUUUUUUUUAACGUUUAUUUAUUUUUGAGACAGAGAGAGACAGAGCAUGAACGGGGGAGGGUCAGAGAGAGGGAGACGCAGAAUCUGAAAUAGGCCUCAGGCUCCGAGCUGUCAGCACAGAGCCCAACGCGGGGCUCGAACUCACAGACCGCGAGAUCAUGACCUGAGCUGAAGUCGGCCGCUUAAAUGACUGAGCCACCCAGGUGCCCCGGUUAUUUUCUAAGUAUACGGCCAGAAACAGGAUAUAUACUGAACACAUCGAAUAAGUGCCUGGCACACAGUAAGCACUAUUAUCAGAGGGGGUGCUCAUGGAUGAGAGGAGGAAAAUGUGAAUAAAAUGUGGAGGUAAAAGAAUAAACGAAAAAUAGCAAAGAGAAGUCAGAGUAUAUAUGGCUACCCUCCCAUCUGUGCAGAUAAUUAAACUUCAUUAAUGUACUCUUUCAGAUCAUUAGCAUUUUUACCUAGAAUUGAAAAAAAAGCUUAUUUUUCAAAACAUGGUUAAUAUUUCUUGCCAAAUAUGGUUAAUAUUUUCUCUGUUUAUGCAAGUUUUUGCUGAGUCUUCCAUAUGUUUUUUUCUUCUAAUUUUGUUUUGACUCCAACUUGUCUUUCACCAUGUUUUCCAUGAUUCUUAGCCCUGCCGCUGGCCUCAGUCCUUUGCAGGAAAGCAGUGUGCAACCUCCUCGUGUGAAAGGAUUUCAAUAUAAAAUGGAAACAAGGAUAGAAAAGGAGAAUCUCAAGCACGUGUCCUCAGGAAAACAAACUCAAUGACCAAGAGACUAGUUUCCCAUAAAUGCUUAAUUUACAGCAAACCGAAACUUAUCGCUCAAUCAAUGAACAGCCACCAAGAACCUAUCCCCAUCCUCAAGCCAAUGGACUUGCCGUUUAGACUCCUGCUAACCUAACGCUUCUCUGCACUUGUGGCCCAUAAACAUGGCCUGCCCCAAAACCCUCAGGACGCGCCUUGAGCUUGCUAUAGUUAGUGCCCCAAAUUGCAAUUCCUCUGCUAUCCCCCAAAUAAACUCACUUCCUGGUAAGUCAAGGCACCUUAUUGCCUCCCUUUACCUCUUUGUGUAGGUUGACACUCACUUUAGGAGCUUCUUCUCAUCAUUGUUAACUUCAGGAAUGCCAAGAAGAGACCUAUACUCAGGUGUAUGGCAGACAGUGAGGCAGCCUGUCUUAGUGAGGACAUCAGCAGGUGGGCUGGGAGUUCUGAUACCACCUUCAGUGAGUGAGUGAUCUCAGGCAGGUUACUUAGUCUGAACUUUGUUUUUCUUAUCAAAAACUUGGAAUAAUAACACCUAUUUCACAGAGCUGUGAUAAGAACAAAUAAGACAAUGAGGCUAUAAAUAUCCUAUGUACGUGCUUAGAAAUUAUCCCUGGGCUUGCUUUCAUUCUCUACAAAAUUUUAAUUUUCUCCAUGUUCUCCUGGAUACUUUCUUUCAUGUAUAUAUGGAUGUCAUUAAAGCAGUUCCUGAGAAAGUUUUAGAACCUCACAAUUGUCACAGUCUCAUACAUAGGGAUUCUGUCUAUAUGCUGCCCCUUAAAGUAGCUCAUAAUUGUUUAGUAUAGUAUCUUUAAUCUUCUCAAGUUACUUCAUUGUAUCAAUUCUCUCUUUAGAAUGAAGCAUGUCUAAAAGCUCUAAUUCUUAACAUGUGCUCUUGGAAAUCGGCAUUUGAUUAGGACCAGAGAAAAUGAGUUAUAGAACACGUGACAAGGUUUCAUACGUUCUUGAUCAAUAUAGUCUGUCAUUAAUAUUUUUCUUUGUUCUUUAGAACAGCAAUUUCCAGUGAGGGUUGCACAUAAUCCAGGGAAUAAACCAAACUGAUUCAUGGAACAAAAAAGAAAACACGGAAAAUGCUAUUUAUAUUUUUUGCCUCAUUCUUUGGAAUUUCGAUUUUUGUGUAUUGUACUAGAAUAUGAAUUCAUCAAAAAAGUUUAGAGGUGCCUGGGUAGCUCAGUCAGCUGGGUGUCUGACUCUAGGUUUCAGCUCAGGUCAUGAUCCCAGGGUCAUGGGAUCAAGACCCAUGUUGGGCUCCACGGUAUGCAUGGAGCCUGCUUAAAGAUUCUCUCCCUCUCCCUCUGCCUCUCUGCCCCAGCUCACACUAAGAUUCAAAAAAAAAUUUUUUUUUAAUUUAGGAGCUACUGUAUUGAACUUAGAGUGUAUUAGGAAGUCCCAAUUCCUUUUUGCUCCUUGAUUUAUAAAAUGAAGUUAUCACAAUAACAACUUACAAGGUAUGGUACGCCUGGGUGGCUCAGUCAUUUGAGCGUCCAGCUUCAGCUCAGGUCAUAAUCUCGUGGUUCGUGAGUUGGAGCCGGCCUCGAGCUCCUUGCUGACAGCUCAGAGCCUGGAGCCUGCUUCCAAUUCUGUGUCUCCGCCUCUCUCUGCCCCUCCCCCACUCAUGCUCUUUCUCUGUCUCUCAAAAAUGAAUAAACAUUAAAAAAUAAAAAAAAAAAUUUUA
rnacentral:lncRNA from 1 species